UCGGCCGAAAGCAGGCGUUGAUGUAGUGAUAUUUACACUCGUCGGACAUGCAAAAUGCUAUGCAGAAUGCUCGUGGGCCUGAAAAGAACGAGUUCUCAGACCUUACUGGUGUAAAUGGGAAUUGUUCCGGCGUCGGGGGCGGAAUAUUCCAGGCAGCCACGUUUAUGGUGGUAAACACAGUAAACAAAGGACAUGAACAACAUAAUUAUUAGAUGAGCUGAGGCGCCUUCACGCCGUGCAUCAAUAUUCAGCCAUUAGUAGGGUAAACCCGGACAGGACUUCGGGUUUCCAAGGUGUGCUAGAAAAGCAAGAUGCCAGUGUAGUAUGCUAUGCGAUGCCAUCUUAGAAAACAAAAGGAAACACCGUGACAGAGAGAGAGAGAGAGAGAGAGAGAGAGAGAGAGAGAGAGAGAGAGUGUGUGUGUGUGUGUGUGUGUGUGUGUGUGUGUGUGUGUGUGCGCGCGCGCGCGCGCGCCCCCCCCGUAGUUUUACGUGAGCAUGGGGGUAAAUACUCUGGCCAAAAUUGGGAUGGCGGAAGCAGAAGGAGAGAGGGGGAAAAUCCUUAACACUUGCAGAGUAAAACGAGCAAGUACAAAAUAAAAAACAAAAAAGCUACGUAGGGCGCCAGGGUCGCAGGUAAAGACCGUGAGGCAGGGCUGAUACAGGCGCAGGCCAAACGGCACCGGACCAGGGGCACCUCCGGCUUCUCCGCCGGUGGCUAUACUUCCAGGUCCGAGGAUGUCCGCUCGGCGCGCGUACCUCGGUGCGAGAUUCCCCCGAGCUCUUUGUUAACGGAGGGUGGGGAGAAAGCGGGGCAGGCGCCUAGUGCACGGGCAGCGGCGGCUUGGGGGGUGGGGCGGGGACGGCCCAACGAGUUGCUUGCCUCGCUGCCCUUCCCCCACCGCCCGGCAGCAGCCCCUGCCGGCUGCCCAGGUCUCGUCCCGCUUCACGGCCGGCGCUCCCCGGCCCGGGCAGCUCCGCACGCCUCGCCGCCUGCUGGGCUGCUGAUGCCCUCCAUCCACACAAAGACGCGUGCGCCCGGGCGGGGAGCGCAGGGGCUGGCACGCACCACCCGCGGGCCUUCUGUCUGCAUCCCCUCUCCCGGCCGCCGCCGGCGCACUCCCACGGCCCCCACUCCCUCGUCUCUCGCCUGAGCCGCCAUUUGCUCCUCGCCUCCCCGACUCAGCUACGGGUAAUCUCAGAUCUACUUUCCGUCUCUUCGCAAGAGGAGCAUGGGAAUAUGGAGACAUGAACUGAUUCAAGGAAUCUGGCCUGGGGAAGGCCUCAUGCACAGAUUCUGAGCAGAUAGUGUCUUGUCUUAAAGAGCCUUGGACCAAAUUUACUACCAGCCUUAUCCCGACCCCAUUUCCCCAGCUUCAAAGAGAAUAUAGGUGACCACAGACUCCGAAGUCUUGCAGGUUGGUGCAGAGUUUUGAGAACCUGUUGUACAUCUCUCACCCUUGUUCCAAUGGGUACUAUUUGUUAACACUAGAACUCACACUGUCCCGCAUUUGAUCUUUCCUUCCUCAACCACAAACUUCUACUUCCUUCUACUAUUGUCUUCAGAAUGCCAAUAUUUUGUGUCCCAGUUUCAUCUUGGGCACCAAGGAGUAGGAUGAACUUUAUAGUUCUGAAAUUCUAGGUUCAGAAAAUAGUGCUGUGGAGCACAAGGUGGGUGGGUUUCACUGUCACUCAUGCCUGCACCUGUGAACAGGGAACCUCCUGAGGAAACACAUAUGGUCUCAUCAUAUUCCACAGCCACCCAGCCACAUCUCUCAAGGCCUGACUUCCUUUCGUCCCCACGUCCCACCCUCUGGGCAGAAGUAGCUGAGAAGGUGCUUCUCCAGCUCUUUCCUCUUCCCUGCUUAGCUCUAUUAUAGUUCACUAGGCCAACACUUUUCUUAGAACCAUAGUGUUUCUAUUUAGGGGUCUGGGGAGCAAUUCCAUUUCCCUCUAUCAUCUCACCUGGAUUUUCUGGCUUUCAGAAGAAAAUACUCCACUCAGAGAUCUUGACUUAUUUCUUCCCAAGCAGUGAGUCAUAUUCACAGACAAACCUUAUCUCCUGGGCCACAACCUGGUUGGCUCCCAACUCACAGAAUAUGAUCAAAGACUGUGUGUCUUUGUAUCUAUAUUAACUUGCACAUAAUUCAUUUAAACUUUGGAGAAAAACGCCUCAUCAUAUCCUCCUACCUCCCCACCACUUGUUUUAAUUUUCUCCACAGCUCAUCCGACAUACUAUAACCAUCCUUCCUCCCUCCCUCCUUCCCUUUCUUCUUUCCUUCCUUCCUUUCAUACUCUUUUUCUCUCUCUCCUCAUUGGCCUAUAAACUUUUUGAAGGUAGGGCUUUUGUUUGUUUUGUUCAUUUCUGUAUCCAUAGGACCCAGCUCAAUGCCUGGCACAGGGUACUCAAUAAAUGUUGAAUAAACAAACUGUUGAAUGAA